GACGAACGCUGGCGGCGUGCUUAACACAUGCAAGUCGAACGCUGAAGCCCAGCUUGCUGGGUGGAUGAGUGGCGAACGGGUGAGUAACACGUGAGUAACCUGCCCCCUUCUUUGGGAUAACGCCCGGAAACGGGUGCUAAUACUGGAUAUUCACUGGCCUUCGCAUGGGGGUUGGUGGAAAGGUUUUUUCUGGUGGGGGAUGGGCUCGCGGCCUAUCAGCUUGUUGGUGGGGUGAUGGCCUACCAAGGCUUUGACGGGUAGCCGGCCCGGAGAGGUGAUCGGUCACUUGGGACUGAGAUGCGGCCCACUUCCUACGGGAGGUUGGUGUGGUGAAUAUUGCAUAUUGGGUGAAUGCCUGAUGCUGCGCCUCUGGUGGGGGGAUGACGGCCUUGGGGUUGGUUGACCUUGUUCUCUCUGGUGAGCCCCCGUUUUGGGUUGGGUUAGGGGGUUGUGUGUAUGGAUGGGGUGUCUGUUGUGUUGGUAACGGAGUGUGAAAGCUGAUGGUUUGUUGUUAUUCCUGGGUGAUGGGGGGGUUUGGUUGUGGGGUUGUGUGGUUGUGGUUGCGUGUGUGUGUGUGG
rnacentral:rRNA from 1 species